rnacentral:rRNA from 1 species
UAACCUGCCCAUCACUCUGGGAUAAGCGCUGGAAACGGCGUCUAAUACUGGAUACGAGCAGCGACCGCAUGGUCAGUUGCUGGAAAGACUGGUUCGGUGAUGGAUGGACUCGCGGCCUAUCAGCUUGUUGGUGAGGUAAUGGCUCACCAAGGCGACGACGGGUAGCCGGCCUGAGAGGGUGACCGGCCACACUGGGACUGAGACACGGCCCAGACUCCUACGGGAGGCAGCAGUGGGGAAUAUUGCACAAUGGGCGCAAGCCUGAUGCAGCAACGCCGCGUGAGGGAUGACGGCCUUCGGGUUGUAAACCUCUUUUAGUAGGGAAGAAGCCUUCGGGUGACGGUACCUGCAGAAAAAGCACCGGCUAACUACGUGCCAGCAGCCGCGGUAAUACGUAGGGUGCAAGCGUUGUCCGGAAUUAUUGGGCGUAAAGAGCUCGUAGGCGGCUUGUCGCGUCUGCUGUGAAAACCCGAGGCUCAACCUCGGGCCUGCAGUGGGUACGGGCAAGCUAGAGUGCGGUAGGGGAGAUUGGAAUUCCUGGUGUAGCGGUGGAAUGCGCAGAUAUCAGGAGGAACACCGAUGGCGAAGGCAGAUCUCUGGGCCGUAACUGACGCUGAGGAGCGAAAGCAUGGGGAGCGAACAGGAUUAGAUACCCUGGUAGUCCAUGCCGUAAACGUUGGGAACUAGAUGUAGGGCCUGUUCCACGGGUUCUGUGUCGUAGCUAACGCAUUAAGUUUCCCCGCCUGGGGAGUACGGCCGCAAGGCUAAAACUCAAAGGAAUUGACGGGGGGCCCGCACAAGCGGCGGAGCAUGCGGUAUUAAUUCGAUGCAACGCGAAGAAUCUUACCAAGGGCUUGACAUAU